rnacentral:miRNA from 1 species
UUUGUUUGUUUUUGCUUCUUUUGUUUUGUUUGCAAUCUCACUCUAUAACCUAGGCUGGCUUAAAAUUUACUAUGUAGUCCAUGCUAGCCUCAAAUUCAUGGCAAUCCUGCCUCAGCCUC